GCAGCCACAGAUCCAUUUGUUAAAACCGCAUAUCUGCAAUGUCUUCCACACGUUCACCUGGAACCUCCAAAUCUCAAGUAAGUCUGUUCAU